ensembl:lncRNA
GCCAGAGAGCAGUGAUUGGUCAGAUCAUAGAUACUAUAGAAGACAGCGCGCUAGCGUAUCUAGUCUGCUAUAUAUAUUUAUGGUUAGCAUGUCUGGUAACGUCUCUGGCUGCUGUUGACCUUGUUUUUGGAGUAAAACAAGGUGGAAGCUGAAUUAGUGAGGAUGACUCCUGCUCCUGUCAUCUCUAAGCUCCUCACACAUCUUUACCUGCACAUGAGGAAAAUCACUCCUGUAGAAUGCAGAUGUUCAGAGGGAGAUGAUGCCACAUCUGGUCCAGCCGAUGGAUGGUCUUGAAGUUCUCUGACUGGCCUCGACUGAAGAUGGUCGUCUCACUGGAUUUAAGGUUCAGAUGCUCAGUAACAAACUCCACCAAUGAGCCAACAGGGAAGCUUUAGGUUUAUUAAAUGUUGCUAUGAAGGUUUCACUGUUUUUCUUUGUGAAUGCAAUGUGCUCCAACUGAAACUUGAAUUAGAACUGAGAAGUAAAUCCUUCCAUCUGAAAGGAUUUAGUUGCAUUAAUAACCUCAUAACAUUCUAAUUUUUAUUCCAGUCUUGGUUGAAAAUAGAAUCUCUGUAUUGAUUCAGGUAAAAACUGAACUUCACAGUAUGUUGGAGCAAAACAACCAGAUGAAAACUGUGAUGGUGUUGGAUUGUCAGACCGUAAUGUUGCAGCUCAAAGCAGCUUUUCUAUCUCAGUUCAUUCUGACAUUCAGCUAUGAAUCAACACAGCAGAUGGUGAUCCAUGCUGUGGAAGUCUCACAUCUCCUGAUUUAAUGGAGCUGCUUUGCACUUUUUACACUGUUUAUUCACCAACACUUUAUUUAAUAAAAAUCCCAUCUAGUUUUUAUGAGGAAUGUGAUGUUUUAAUUUCUCUGUGAAUAACUGCAGUCUAAUGGAACAGCUGGAGUUGUAACAUCUGUCCUGAUAUUGAUCAUGAAGUAUUGAUCAGAAUACUUAUGGUUAGCAGUCAUCCCUGAAGUUUUACAUUAAAAUCUUUACUUGUGUUGUGAACUUUGGUAAGAAGCAGAAACUUUAGCGUUGCCAUGGAUACAUGAGUGUUAAAUUCUGUCCAUGUUUCCAUUUUGGGAAAUUCAGUCCAGUUCCAGAAUGUGGAGGAAUUUAGUCUUACAAUCACAGACAACAAAUAUUAUCUGAAAGUCGGGUUAUUGUUGUUUAUCAGCACAAUACAAAAAGAUUAAUGUUAGAAAUAUUCCAGUUAAGACUCUAGAAUAUCAUGAUUUAUGUAAAUUUACCUCAAUAAUAUGAAUGUUCAGGUUAAGAUUGUGCAGUGAUAUUAUGUAAGUUUAGCUGAUUAAAGUUUAUGACUCUGCACUAAAAUAUUAUUUAAAUUGACAUUAUUAUAAUAUUUAGGGUCAGACCCUACAGUAUUGAGAUUAAGAAAUCAAAUAUUCUAUAAAAUGUAAAUACACUGAACUCAUUUGGAUAUAUUUAAGUGAGACUCUACAAUAUUAUUUGACACAAAUCUAUCUAAAUCAAAAUUUUAAUAAUUUUCACGCCAAACAUUUACUGGACUGAUUUAAAUAUUAAAAUCACUCCUUUCUAAUCCUCUGCUGUACGUUCAAACCUGAGGCCUUAAAUAGAAACACACAAGUAUCUGAUUGAAGGAACUUCUGUAGAGUCCUGGUUCCAGAACAUGAUGAUAGAAACAAACUUUAACAAAAGCUGCCUGAGAGUUUACAGGUUUUUAUGUUGGAUUUCUUCAGUAAUUUAAUGAGCGUUAUCAGCAAUAAUCAAGUGUUCAUUUGAUGAACUUCAUUUCCUAAUACAUCCAGAAUUGGAGCUCAUAUCUUUUGCAGCUGUAAAGUUUCUGCUCCUUCAAAGUUCACAACACAAUGAAUGAAUUCCUAAAACACUCUCAAUGCUGAAGCAGUGAUCAGUUUUUUUGUUUCUUCUCUGGAGAUGCACAAUGAGGGACGUCUGCAGUGACUGAGAAAGAGUCUCACCACAUCCUGACAUGAGGAAAAAGACUUUAUUGAAGACUACAAUGAGAAAAACUAUCAGACAGCAGACGGCUGCAUUCAAGGUGAGCUCUGAACAUCUAAUCUGGAACAGGAAUUCAAUAACGGAUGAAUCAUCUGGCACAAGAGAAGAAGACCAUCAAACAUCCACGUCAGCUGAUGGAGGUCCAAGAGUCUCACCGAACAACCAACCUACAGAGUGAAGACCUCCAAUCUGAUUGGACGGCCUCCUAUUCAGCCACAUUUUAGGCUGUUAGAUUGUUCCAGAUAAGACAAGUACAAGAUUCUUCAGAGCCGUUCUACCACGAGCCUGACAGGAAGAACUCCAACAGCUACUGAAUGUUCCUGUGGUUCCCUCAAGGCUACAGGAGGAGCCCUAUGAGGACGAGCCAGUCCACCUGAUGGAGGCCAGUCGCUGCGGUUCAAAGCCAACACAGACUACGUGGACUUCUACUGGACCACACGGAGGCCUUCAAACCGGACCAACAAGUUCACGACUCCCCGACUCGUGGGUCUGAGGACGCCGCCGAGCCUCGGUCCAGCCGGCCGCCUGUCUGUGGGUGUUUGAGUGCUGAGAGGUUUGUGGAUGCAUGUGAACGUGUCUGUGUUGAAACAGCAGCUUUUGACUUAGUAACACCGCUAAAAACCAAGAGCUCCUUUAUUUGUGACUUCCACUAAAAAACUGAUGAAAAUAAGUUUGCCAGGGUUCUGACUGAUCACAGAUUAUUAAAUAAUGAAAAUAAUCGUUUAAAUAUUCCCUUAAACAAUGCUUUUAGGUCUACAUUUCCUUUACACUGACUUCUUGGUAUAUGUACAAGUAUUUUGGGUGGAAUAUACCAUUAAGCCUAAUGUUCAAGGGUUCUUCUGGGAAUAUACCAUUAAACCAACCUUUUAGGUAAAUGUUCCAGGAUGUUGGGUAGAAUAUACCAUCAGAU